rnacentral:lncRNA from 1 species
CUAACCCUACCUUCUUCUUCGUAUAUACACAACAAGAAUAAAAACCCUAGAAGACCUCCAUAGCCGCCACCCCAUCUUCAACCCGAAAACUCGACGGAAAACACCCCUUCAACACUAGCUAAUGACGAACCAGCACCCCCCUCGUCGUCACACCACCAUAACCACAGCAGCCACAGCUAGUCGGAACUUUCCACCGCCAACGGACCCCCUCUCUUCGAAACACCAACGAGAAGAAGCAGCGGUUCUCAUCUUCAACACC